GAUGAACGCUGGCGGCGUGCUUAAUACAUGCAAGUCGAACGAGGGACUUUUGUCUUCGGAUGGAGGUUUCCUAGUGGCGAACGGGUGAGUAACGCGUUGGUGACCUGCCCCAAAGUGGGGGAUAACAGUUCGAAAGGACUGCUAAUACCUCAUGUGAUCAGCGGGAUCAGAUGCCUGCUGAUUAAAGGCGUAAGCCGCUUUGGGAGGGGCCUGCGUCCCAUCAGCUUGUUGGUAGGGUAAUGGCCUACCAAGGCUAUGACGGGUAGGGGACCUGAGAGGGUGGCCCCCCACACUGGCACUGAAACACGGGCCAGACACCUACGGGUGGCAGCAGUAGGGAAUAUUGGACAAUGGGCGAAAGCCUGAUCCAGCAACGCCGCGUGCGC
rnacentral:rRNA from 1 species